rnacentral:rRNA from 1 species
AUGACUAGGGAUAACCUUAGUAAGAGACACAUCAUCAAACCCCUUGAUUGUGUUUACUGCUUGGAACAAGAGUCUUGUUCUCACGUAUUUUUUGAAUGUAUAGUUGCUAAACAUCUCUGGGCCCACAUUGAGGAAUAUUUCUCUAGUCAGAUUGGCUCAUCCUUCGAAUCUGUCACCAGAUUCUGGAUUGCUACCAAAAAGUGCUCAGUUUUAAACACUGUUAGCUCAGCUGUCCUUUGGUGCCUCUGGAAAUAUAGAAAUGCUAUGAUUUUUAGUAACACCACCUGGAUUUCCAUUCCGCAGGUCUUGAGGUUGAUCAGGAACAUGGUGAGGAACUGGGCGAUUCUCUCCUCCGGAUCGGACAAGGACAAGUUGAUGAGCUUCGUGAAACCCUAA